rnacentral:sRNA from 1 species
CUCUGCACAACCGAACUUUGGCAGAUCUUGGGGGAAGCUUCCAACUUCCAAGGCUCCCUGAUGUUUCCCCAAGCUCUCACUUCAGCUCGUAUUCUGUCUCGCCGAUUGGCGCCGUCGGGGGCUCCUUACUGACUGCGGCAAGGCGUGAUGCUACCUUCCAAGUUCCAGCAGAGCGACUGAGAUCAGCGAACUCUGUAUAUGCUCGAAAACUCACCGGUCUUGCCCUGGACGAACUUUUUGGGUACUUACAGUAGUGGAUUCCCCAUCCAGAUAAACAUAUCUACUUUUCCAUACGCACGUUUCAGGCGGAUAGAUUCUCAUAGCUUACUUAUGAUGAGCGCUGAAUCCUCCUAUCGGAUAUAACCAUCUUUUCGUCCACGCUUGGUAAUUAUGUUACACCGCCCUUCUUGUCGGGAGGAGUAUCAAUUCGUUAACUCUUCACGUCUCCUCAGUGAAAUUAGCCGGAACAGGAUAUGCAGGGUAUUUGGUAACUAGCUCUACUGCGUAGUGCGGGUAAUCUCAACAGAUCACCUCAGUGUGGGAGGUGGGGAGAGAGAGCUUGCUCAUUUUUUAAGUCUUUGUGCGGAGUGUGAUGGAGUGAAUUUCCAUUUGCUGGCCCUUCUUUCAAAUCCCAACCCCAGUGUUCUUCAGAGGGGAAGAGCCCCCGCUUUGGGUGUCAUUUGUGCUUUGAAACUCCGCUCAUUCCUGUCGAAACUGAUACUAUAAAGUCGUGGUCUUGGUUUCCUUGCAAACCCCCAUAGGUACACUGUCAGUGCUUUGAACCUUGCUUGGCCAGUUGAUGUCAACUGCUGUGAUGUUGGGAUUUUACCAACUGUUGACGUAGGCAGAGAGGCACAGCCGCUAAAGAUAUGAUAUGUAACGCAUCC